rnacentral:rRNA from 1 species
UACGGAGGGGACUAGCGUUGUUCGGAAUUACUGGGCGUAAAGGGCGUGUAGGCGGGAAUGUAAGUCGGGCGUGAAAUCCCUAGGCUCAACCUAGGAACUGCACUCGAAACUGCGUUUCUUGAGUGCCGGAGAGGAAAGCGGAAUUCCUGGUGUAGAGGUGAAAUUCGUAGAUAUCAGGAGGAACACCAGUGGCGAAGGCGACUCUUUGGUCUGUAACUGACGCUGAGGCGCGAAAGCGUGGGGAGCAAACAGG